AUAGGAUAUAGGCCCUAAUCUAUGUGAAAAUGCUGAAAAUGUUCUCCAAUUCGCAAUACGGCCAUAUCCUAGAAUAAAGAAUUCAGGAACUCUGUGCAAUGUCAUUAAAGCUUGUGGCAUUGCAUCGUUCUUCCUGCGACACUU